rfam:Dialister sp. CAG:588 genomic scaffold, scf54
CAUAGGACAGGUCUGUGGUUGCAAGUCGAAGCCAGUCGCAGGCAAAACGAUCCACUUAAGGUAUCAAAAGGAUACUGAGCAUGGUGCGGCUUAGAAGUAAGACCUGCCGAUAUAAAAUCGAGAGGAUUAGUAGUGAGAGGUAUAUGACCGCAUAGCGAACGUUCCAGCAGGCGAGUGUGGGGGAAAAGACCAGGUCAGCUGUGUGUG